CGUAGGUGGCGAGCGUUGUCCGGAAUUACUGGGUGUAAAGGGCGCGUAGGCGGGUGCCUAAGUCAGGCGUGAAAUGCCGGAGCUCAACUCCGGAACCGCGUUUGAAACUGGGCAUCUUGAGUGUCGGAGAGGGAAGCGGAAUUCCUAGUGUAGCGGUGAAAUGCGUAGAUAUUAGGAGGAACACCAGUGGCGAAGGCGGCUUCUGGACGAUAACUGACGCUGAGGCGCGAGAGCGUGGGGAGCAAACAGGAUUAGAUACCCUGGUAGUCCACGCUGUAAACGAUGGAUACUAGGUGUUGGGGGUAUUGAGCCCUCCAGUGCCGGAGUUAACACAAUAAGUAUCCCACCUGGGGAGUACGGCCGCAAGGUUG
rnacentral:rRNA from 1 species